rnacentral:lncRNA from 1 species
GAAAAAGAAAAACAGAGAAAAGAAAAAUAGAAAAGGGACAAGAAGAUGUAUUUAUUCAUUAUAAUUGCUUUAUAGUUAGCUCCCAAAUGCCAACUCAUCCAAGUACUUUUGUUGAUGAACUAAAGUAGGAAACUUGAGCAUAAUGAUAAUAAUAAUAAUAAUAAUAAUAAUAAUAAUAAUAAUAAUAAUAAGUCUUCGUUUACAUCAACAAAAAAUGGUUUAUAUUUUCUUCAUAGCAUGUUACUGACUGGAGAUGAGUGUAUGAAGAGAUUUAAGAAUUUACUACUUUUGAAACUCGGAUAGCCUGAGGCUCAUCUCCUCAUCCACGUAGAAAUCGUCGAGCUUUUCUCACCCAAGAAAUCGAACCUGCAAGAAGAUAAUAUCCAAAACAAGGCCAUUUCAGCCAUUAAGAAAGUGCACUAUGUUUAUGAAUAUGAAGUAUGGAUGAAGCUUAUUGUAGGCAUACGAAAGCUAGAUAGAGACGGUACUCGUAUGAGAUUUGAGGUAAGUAUGGUUAGAGUGAUUUUCUUCUAAUG